UAGGCUGCUGAUUCGUCAUAUCUAUCGCUUUCCUCUUUCUUGAUUUUAUUUCUCUGAAACCCUUGCCAGCUUCCCCAUCUGAGAACUUUACUAUUCAGCCUAGCAAUGGCCAAGAAGCGAAAGUCUCGGGCUUCACACCAGCCCGAACCUCAACCCCAACCGGAACCGGAACCGGAACAAGUCAAAGUUGAAGAGCAAGAGCAGUCGCAACCAGAAGUUGAUCCCGAACCGGAAGCAACCAAUCAAGUGGCCGAAGAAGAGAAGGAGCAAGAGAAAGAAGUUGGAGAGCAGAUGGAAGUUGAGGACUUGAAUGGUAAUUCUAAUGGUGCUGAAAAGGGGAAAGGAAAUUGCUCUGACGACGCUGGAACAGCUAACGGAGGGGAGGAGGAGGAGGAGGAGGAGGAGGAUUUAGAGGAAGAACCUCUCGAGAAGGUUCUGGAACCCUUCUCCAAGGAGCAGCUGAAGGUGAUUGUGCAAGAGGCUGUAAACAAACAUCCAGAUUUCAUUAAAAAUGUUACGGCAUGGGCCGAUAAAGACCCCUCGCAUCGGAAAAUUUUUGUGCACGGUCUGGGAUGGGACGCCACGGCCGAAACCCUAACCAAUGUGUUCGCCAACUAUGGGGAGAUCGAGGACUGCAAGGCCGUUACUGAUAAAGUCUCCGGGAAAUCCAAAGGAUAUGCAUUUAUACUCUUCAAGCACCGGAGUGGAGCUAAGAAAGCUUUGAAACAGCCUCAGAAGAAGAUUGGGAAUCGGAUGGCCUCGUGUCAACUGGCUUCUUCUGGGCCUGGUCCUGGACCUGCUCCACCUCCUAAUACACCUCCAGUCUCUGACUAUACUCAGAGGAAGAUUUUCGUUAGCAAUGUUUCUGCAGAUUUUGAUCCCCAGAAAUUAUUGGCAUUCUUUUCUAAGUAUGGGGAGAUUGAGGAGGGACCAUUGGGGUUGGAUAAGAUAUCAGGGAAACCAAAAGGUUUCUGCUUGUUUGUGUACAAGACAGUUGAGAGUGCAAAGAAGGCAUUGGAGGAGCCCAAUAAGAUUUUUGAGGGGCAAGAAUUGAAUUGCUCCAAGGCAAUUGAUGGUCCAAAGCAAAAUAAGAAUUUCCAUCAACAUCAACAUCAUCAUAAGCAGCAACAAUACUAUCAGCAUACAGCAAAGAAGGGAAAAUAUUCAGCUGGUGGAGUUGGAAGUGCAGCUACUUCAACCGGGCAUUUAAUUCGCCCACAACCUGGUCCUGCACCUGUGGGAUUCAAUCCUGCAGUUGCCCCGGUUCUUGGGCAGGCACUGACAGCAUUGUUGGCAACCCAAGGAGGUGGAUUAGGGAUAGGCAACUUUCUUGGAGGGCUUGGGCCUGUGAAUCCUCAGGGAGUGCCACCUGGGAUGAACAACUCGACAGGAUAUGGGGUCCAGGGUGCUGCAGCUGGCUAUGGAGUUCAGCCAGGAAUGCAGGGAGGAUAUCAAUACCCGCAGAUGGGACAUGGAGGUGUGAGGCCACACGGAGGUGCUCCCUAUAUGGGGCGUGGUCGUUAGGACUGCAGAAGUAUGGAGGAGCCUUUUAUGAGUUCUGUUUCAUGGAUCUAAUGACUUCAGUCAUGUCCAACUGACCAUCAUGUUCCCUGCUCUGCUAAGAUUCCUUCAUAAAUCCAUCACUCUUUUUGUUUUGGACUGGUGAUUCUUCCCAAGUUCCAGGAACAAAUGCAAAUGACGUCUUUAUUGUAACCCUCCCCCCCCCAAAAAAAAAAAAACAUCUCUUUGCUUAAAGACCAGAAUCUUCAAUUUGCAUCUUUUAUAUUGAGAAUGUUUCUAAAACUAUGUAAAAUUUUCACCGUAUUUCUUUCUAUAUUGGAUUGAGAAGCAGGUAGGACAUCCACUACAAUCCCUCCAGAAUUUAAGUUUAUGUACCUUUUCCAAAAAUUAGUUACUGCUCUAUCUUUUGAAUAAGGCUAAGUUUUAUUCCA